rnacentral:rRNA from 1 species
AUUGAACGCUGGCGGCAGGCCUAACACAUGCAAGUCGAGCGAGCGGCGGACGGGUGAGUAAUGUAUGGGGCUCUGCCCGAUAGAGGGGGAUACCUACUGGAACCGGUGGCUAAUACCGCAUACUAUCGGAUGAACCCAUGUUGGAUUAGCCAGUAGGUGGGGUAAAGGCUCACCUAGGCGACGAUCUCUAGCUGGUCUGAGAGGAUGAUCAGCCACACUGGAACUGAGACACGGCCCAGACUCCUACGGGAGGCAGCAGUAGGGAAUAUUGCGCAAUGGGCGCAAGCCUGAUGCAGCCAUGCCGCGUGUAUGAAGAAGGCCUUAGGGUUGUAAAGUACUUUCAGCGGGGAGGCGUUACCCGCAGAAGAAGCACCGGCUAACUCCGUGCCAGCAGCCGCGGUAAUUC